AAGAAUUUACUAGAGAUCACCAAAUCAAACAUCAAGCCACACUCCGUGUAGAACGUUAUUAGUUUUGCCAAAUCGCGCUGCAGAAAAAUAUGCUUAAAUUUUCUUCUUUUUUCUUCUGAUCAAAGCCAGAAAUUAAAAAUGAAGAGCGACUAAUUUAAGAAAUUUGAUUAUUAUAUCUGGAGCAGUUCUCCGUCUUAUCCAUUCUAUUGAGAAUCACAAUUGUCUUCCUUUUUAAGAGCAUACCUUGAUUAUUCUUAUGUAUCACAAUUGACAUCGACGUAAAAGAAGAGUUAGAAGAGCAAACAAACAAAAAUCUAACAACUCAAUAAUAGCCGCAUAUGUAAUUAAAAUAAGAACAGCAAACUCCGAAUAAAACCUCAAUCGGGAAACCAAAAUAACCAAGAAGAAAAGAGUGAGAAUAGAAAAUAUC
rnacentral:lncRNA from 1 species